rnacentral:rRNA from 1 species
GUACACGCUGUGACUAGCAUAUCAAUAAGCGGAGGAAAGUAAUGGUACCUACGCUUAGGAUGUUGACACACGCGCGUGCUCGAUGAUAGUCUAUACAUGACUCUGUGCAUAUCAAUAAGCGGAGGAAAAGAAACUAACAAGGAUUCCCCUAGUAACGGCGAGUGAAGCGGGAAGAGCUCAAAUUUGAAAUCUUAAAGGGUUUCCCUUUACGAAUUGUAGUUUAAAGAAGUGUUUUCUGUUGAGGUUUUGGUAAAAGUUCUUUGGAAUAGGACAUCAUAGAGGGUGAGAAUCCCGUAUUUGACCUUUACUUUCAACUUUGUGAUACACUUUCAAAGAGUCGGAUUGUUUGGGAAUGCAGUCCAAAAUGGGUGGUAAAUUUCAUCUAAAGCUAAAUAUUGGCGAGAGACCGAUAGCGAACAAGCUACCGUGAGGGAAAGAUGAAAAGAACUUUGAAAAGAGAGUUAAACAGUACGUGAAAUUGUCAAAAGGGAAGCGUUUGACACCAGUGUUGUUUUUCUGAAAAUCAAUUAAAGAACUGUUUAUGCUAAGCUGUUUAGACUUUAUCAGCUAUCUGUUUAGUUUUGAGCUUUUCUUUAAUGCACUUUUCAGUUAACAAGUCAACAUCAAUUUCUUUUGCUGUAAAAAAGCUUGAGGAAGGUGGCUUGAGAUUCGUCUUAAGUGUUUAUAGCCUCUUGCCUAUGCAGUCGGAGAGAUUGAGGUCUGCAGCGUAGAUCCUUCGGGGCUAAAUGCAUUUGUGCUAAGUUAUAGCAUUUUAUAGACAACUUGUUGACUAUGAUUUGUCUUGUAGCUUACUCGCUUAUGUUAUUUUACCUACGCUUAGGAUGUUGAAGAUGUAGCACAUCAU